CAGGACGAACGCGGGCGGCGUGCCUAACACAUGCAAGUCACGGGGGCCCGCAAGGGCAACCGGCGAACGGGUGCGUAACACGUGAGCAAUCUGCCGAUUUCUGGGGGAUAGCCGGUCCAACGACCGGGUAAUACCGCAUACGCUCAUUGGGGGACAUCCCCUGAUGAGGAAACCUCCGGGGGAAAUCGAGGAGCUCGCGGCCUAUCAGCUAGUUGGUGAGGUAACGGCUCACCAAGGCGACGACGGGUAGCUGGUCUGAGAGGAUGGCCAGCCACAUUGGGACUGCGACACGGCCCAGACUCCUACGGGAGGCAGCAGUGGGGGAUAUUGCGCAAUGGACGAAAGUCUGACGCAGCGACGCCGCGUGUGGGAUGAAGCUUUUCGGAGUGUAAACCACUGUUGCCCGGGACGAACAUCCCCUUUCGAGGGGACUGACGGUACCGGGUGAGGAAGCACCGGCUAACUCUGUGCCAGCAGCCGCGGUAAUACAGAGGGUGCGAGCGUUGUCCGGAAUCACUGGGCGUAAAGGGCGCGUAGGUGGCUUGGUAAGCGUGUGGUGAAAGCUCGGGGCUCAACCCCGAGUCGGCCAUGCGAACUGCCGAGCUUGAGCAUGGUAGAGGCAGGUGGAAUUCCGGGUGUAGCGGUGGAAUGCGUAGAUAUCCGGAAGAACACCGGUGGCGAAGGCGGCCUGCUGGGCAUUGCUGACACUGAGGCGCGACAGCGUGGGGAGCAAACAGGAUUAGAUACCCUGGUAGUCCACGCCGUAAACGAUGGGCACUAGGUGCUUGGGGGAGCGACCCCCUGAGUGCCGUCGCUAACGCAUGAAGUGCCCCGCCUGGGGAGUACGGCCCGCAGGCUGAAACU
rnacentral:rRNA from 1 species